rnacentral:rRNA from 1 species
GACGUAGGGGGCAAGCGUUGUUCGGAAUUAUUGGGCGUAAAGCGCUCGUAGGCGGGAUUGGAAGUCCGUGUUGAAAGACCUCGGCUCAACUGAGGGACCGGCUCGGAUACUCUAAUUCUUGAGGCAAUCAGAGGAUGAUGGAAUUCCAGGUGUAGCGGUGAAAUGCGUAGAUAUCUGGAGGAAUACCGGUGGCGAAGGCGGCAUCCUGGACCAUUACUGACGCUGAGGCGCGAAAGCUAGGGGAGCAAACGGGG